AUCCCACAGGAUUUAUAGAGGUCUUUCAAUCCUACAGGAUUUAUAUAGAGGUCUUUCAAUCCCACAGGAUUUAUAUAGAGGUCUUUCAAUCUAGAACAGGAUUUAUAUAGAGGUCUUUCAAUCCUACAGGAUUUAUAUAGAGGUCUUUCAAUCCCACAGGAUUUAUAUAGAGGUCUUUCAAUCUAGAACAGGAUUUAUAUAGAGGUCUUUCAAUCCUACAGGAUUUAUAUAGAGGUCUUUCAAUCUAGAACAGGAUUUAUAUAGAGGUCUUUCAAUCCCACAGGAUUUAUAUAGAGGUCUUUCAAUCCAGAACAGGAUUUAUGUUCAGGUCCUUCAAUCCCACAGGAUUUAUAUAGAGGUCUUUCAAUCCCACAGGAUUUAUGUAGAGGUCUUUCAAUCCCACAGGAUUUAUAUAGAGGUCUUUCAAUCCCACAGGAUUUAUAUAGAGGUCUUUCAAUCCCACAGGAUUUAUAUAGAGGUCUUUCAAUCCCACAGGAUUUAUAUAGAGGUCUUUCAAUCCCACAGGAUUUAUAUAGAGGUCUUUCAAUCCCACAGGAUUUAUAUAGAGGUCUUUCAAUCCCACAGGAUUUAUAUAGAGGUCUUUCAAUCCCACAGGAUUUAUAUAGAGGUCUUUCAAUCCCACAGGAUUUAUGUAGAGGUCUUUCAAUCCCACAGGAUUUAUAUAGAGGUCUUUCAAUCUAGAACAGGAUUUAUAUAGAGGUCUUUCAAUCCCACAGGAUUUAUAUAGAGGUCUUUCAAUCCCACAGGAUUUAUAUAGAGGUCUUUCAAUCCCACAGGAUUUAUAUAGAGGUCUUUCAAUCCCACAGGAUUUAUAUAGAGGUCUUUCAAUCCCACAGGAUUUAUGUAGAGGUCUUUCAAUCCCACAGGAUUUAUAUAGAGGUCUUUCAAUCCCACAGGAUUUAUAUAGAGGUCUUUCAAUCCCACAGGAUUUAUAUAGAGGUCUUUCAAUCUAGAACAGGAUUUAUAUAGAGGUCUUUCAAUCCCACAGGAUUUAUAUAGAGGUCUUUCAAUCUAGAACAGGAUUUAUAUAGAGGUCUUUCAAUCCCACAGGAUUUAUAUAGAGGUCUUUCAAUCUAGAACAGGAUUUAUAUAGAGGUCUUUCAAUCCCACAGGAUUUAUAUAGAGGUCUUUCAAUCCCACAGGAUUUAUAUAGAGGUCUUUCAAUCCCACAGGAUUUAUAUAGAGGUCUUUCAAUCCCACAGGAUUUAUAUAGAGGUCUUUCAAUCCCACAGGAUUUAUAUAGAGGUCUUUCAAUCCCACAGGAUUUAUGUAGAGGUCUUUCAAUCCCACAGGAUUUAUAUAGAGGUCUUUCAAUCCUACAGGAUUUAUAUAGAGGUCUUUCAAUCCCACAGGAUUUAUAUAGAGGUCUUUCAAUCCCACAGGAUUUAUAUAGAGGUCUUUCAAUCCCACAGGAUUUAUAUAGAGGUCUUUCAAUCCCACAGGAUUUAUAUAGAGGUCUUUCAAUCCAGAACAGGAUUUAUGUAGAGGUCUUUCAAUCCCACAGGAUUUAUAUAGAGGUCUUUCAAUCUAGAACAGGAUUUAUAUAGAGGUCUUUCAAUCCCACAGGAUUUAUAUAGAGGUCUUUCAAUCUAGAACAGGAUUUAUAUAGAGGUCUUUCAAUCUAGAACAGGAUUUAUAUAGAGGUCUUUCAAUCUAGAACAGGAUUUAUAUAGAGGUCUUUCAAUCCCACAGGAUUUAUAUAGAGGUCUUUCAAUCCCACAGGAUUUAUAUAGAGGUCUUUCAAUCCAGAACAGGAUUUAUAUAGAGGUCUUUCAAUCCAGAACAGGAUUUAUAUAGAGGUCUUUCAAUCCCACAGGAUUUAUAUAGAGGUCUUUCAAUCCCACAGGAUUUAUAUAGAGGUCUUUCAAUCCAACAGGAUUUAU